rnacentral:lncRNA from 1 species
CGGCGCUCGGCGGUCCUCCCAGAGAGCGCCGCGUGCGGUGCGGAGCGAGCGGCGCCUCACGGGCGGUGCAGCGGAACCCUCCCGGGAUGCGGCAUCCACCCCGACACCCGGCGAGCUGGGCACUAGCGGGAGGAGGAGCGGGAGGGUACGGCUGGGAGGCCGGGAGAAACCAUUCCCCGCGAGGGGGCAACGCCUGGAGCGGCCGGGCGGGGCGAGGAGCAGCGGCCCUCCACACGCAGGUGCAUUUCCAGCUUGCUAUAAAACUAUGUCC